GAUGAAGAACGUAGCGAAAUGCGAUAAGUAAUGUGAAUUGCUGAAUUCAGUGAAUCAUCGAAUCUUUGAACGCACCUUGCGCUCCUUGGUAUUCCGAGGAGCAUGCCUGUUUGAGUGUCAUGAAUCUCUCAAACUCUUAGUUUCAUUACUGAGUGUUUGGAUUUGGAGGUCUAUGCUGGCGCAAGUCAGCUCCUCUUAAAUACAUUAGCUUGGGUCUUGCAUGUCUGGAUCCUUGGUGUGAUAAUUAUCUACGCCAUGAUGUCCCUUCAAGCCCUGCUUCUAAUCGUCUGAAUAAGACAAUUUAUUACUUGACAUCUGACCUCAAAUCAGGUAGGACUACCCGCUGAACUUAAGCAUAUCAAUAAGCGGAGGA
rnacentral:misc_RNA from 1 species